CCUUUCCUCUGUCUCUCUCUCACACAGAGAACCUCACCUCUUCACUUCACCGAAAUCCCUUACCAUCGUUGCUCACGUCCGUCGCACAUCAUCACCUCUGCAAAUCACCACUGCCACCGCCGCAAUACAAACAGGGGCCAGAGAGUUGAAUUGGGUUUGAGAAAAAAAAAAAGGUGGUGUUUGAUUGACAAGAGGAUGUUGCUGAAGUUUUAUUGACCUACUUUAGUUUUAAAAACCCUCUAAUUUUCCUUCUUUAAUAAUUAUUUUUGUCUUGUUCCAUAACAUUUCAAUUUGAUUCGUUUGGUUGGUGGAAUUAAUGGGGAAGGCCAUCCACUCUAGUGUACUGUAGGUAGUAGUCGGGAAGGUCAAUCCUACUUUUGAAAAUGUUUUGCAGAUUUGGUCUUGAGUAUGACCUGGAUCUCUUCAAUAUUGUUGUUGUUCCAGAUUUUAACAUAGUGAUGGAAAACAGCAGACUUCAAGGUCAAAUUCCAGUCGCUCUCUUCAGCCUUGCUCAGUUGCAGACUCUGUAAAUUUCAGUUCAAUCUCAUUUGGUGUUACAUUUCAUAUAAUGCUUUAGAAUCCAAAGUAAAUUGUAACCUACCUAGGCUUAACAUAAUUGAUUCUGCUUAAAUAUCUUGUAUCAUGAACAUUAUAAUAAAAAACCAAUUUGCUUUUGGCA